UGGGGAAUAUUGCACAAUGGGCGAAAGCCUGAUGCAGCAACGCCGCGUGAGUGAUGAAGGCCUUCGGGUUGUAAAGCUCUGUCUUUUGGGACGAUAAUGACGGUACCAAAGGAGGAAGCCACGGCUAACUACGUGCCAGCAGCCGCGGUAAUACGUAGGUGGCAAGCGUUGUCCGGAUUUACUGGGCGUAAAGGAUGCGUAGGCGGAUUUUUAAGUGAGAUGUGAAAACCCUAAGCUUAACUUGGGGACUGCAUUUCAUACUGGAAAUCUAGAGUGCGGGAGAGGAGAAUGGAAUUCCUAGUGUAGCGGUGAAAUGCGUAGAGAUUAGGAAGAACACCAGUGGCGAAGGCGAUUCUCUGGACCGUAACUGACGCUGAGGCAUGAAAGCGUGGGUAGCAAACAGGAUUAGAUACCCUGGUCAGUCCACGCCGUAAACGAUGAGUACUAGGUGUAGGAGGUAUCGACCCCUUCUGUGCCGCAGUUAACACAAUAAGUACUCCGCCUGGGAAGUACGAUCGCAAGAUUAAAAA
rnacentral:rRNA from 1 species